AGGGUUUUAGUUUAAUUAAAACAUUUGAUUUGCAAUCAGAAAAUGUGGAGUAACAUCCGCAAGUCCUA
rnacentral:tRNA from 1 species